GAUGAACGCUGGCGGCGUGCCUAAUACAUGCAAGUCGAGCGAACAGAUGAGGAGCUUGCUCCUCUGACGUUAGCGGCGGACGGGUGAGUAACACGUGGAUAACCUACCUAUAAGACUGGGAUAACUUCGGGAAACCGGAGCUAAUACCGGAUAAUAUAUUGAACCGCAUGGUUCAAUAGUGAAAGACGGUUUUGCUGUCACUUAUAGAUGGAUCCGCGCCGCAUUAGCUAGUUGGUAAGGUAACGGCUUACCAAGGCAACGAUGCGUAGCCGACCUGAGAGGGUGAUAGGCCACAUUAGAAGAGGAACACGGUCCAGACUCCUGCGGGAGGCAGCAGUAGGGAAUCUGCCGCAAUGGGCGGAAGCCUGACGGAGCAACGCCGAGUGAGUGAUGAAGGUCUUCGGAUCGUAAAACUCUGUUAUUAGGGAAGAACAAAUGUGUAAGUAAAUAUGCACGUCUUGACGGUACCUAAUCAGAAAGCCACGGCUAACUACGUG
rnacentral:rRNA from 1 species